rnacentral:rRNA from 1 species
GACGAACGCUGGCGGCGUGCCUAAUACAUGCAAGUAGAACGCUGAAGGAGGAGCUUGCUCUUCUGGAUGAGUUGCGAACGGGUGAGUAACGCGUAGGUAACCUGCCUGGUAGCGGGGGAUAACUAUUGGAAACGAUAGCUAAUACCGCAUAAGAGUAGAUGUUGCAUGACAUUUGCUUAAAAGGUGCAAUUGCAUCACUACCAGAUGGACCUGCGUUGUAUUAGCUAGUUGGUGGGGUAACGGCUCACCAAGGCGACGAUACAUAGCCGACCUGAGAGGGUGAUCGGCCACACUGGGACUGAGACACGGCCCAGACUCCUACGGGAGGCAGCAGUAGGGAAUCUUCGGCAAUGGACGGAAGUCUGACCGAGCAACGCCGCGUGAGUGAAGAAGGUUUUCGGAUCGUAAAGCUCUGUUGUAAGAGAAGAACGAGUGUGAGAGUGGAAAGUUCACACUG